AUUGAACGCUGGCGGCAUGCUUUACACAUGCAAGUCGAACGGCAGCGCGGGCUUCGGCCUGGCGGCGAGUGGCGAACGGGUGAGUAAUACAUCGGAACGUGCCCAGUAGUGGGGGAUAGCUCGGCGAAAGCCGGAUUAAUACCGCAUACGACCAGAGGGUGAAAGCGGGGGAUCUUCGGACCUCGCGCGAUUGGAGCGGCCGAUGGCAGGUUAGCUAGUUGGUGGGGUAAAGGCCUACCAAGGCGACGAUCUGUAGCUGGUCUGAGAGGACGACCAGCCACACUGGGACUGAGACACGGCCCAGACUCCUACGGGAGGCAGCAGUGGGGAAUUUUGGACAAUGGGCGAAAGCCUGAUCCAGCAAUGCCGCGUGUGUGAUGAAGGCCUUCGGGUUGUAAAGCACUUUUGGCGGGAACGAAAAGGACUGUGCCAAUACCACGGUUCGAUGACGGUACCCGCAGAAUAAGCACCGGCUAACUACGUG
rnacentral:rRNA from 1 species